rnacentral:rRNA from 1 species
AAAACUUUCAACAACGGAUCUCUUGGCUCUGGCAUCGAUGAAGAACGCAGCGAAAUGCGAUAAGUAAUGUGAAUUGCAGAAUUCAGUGAAUCAUCGAAUCUUUGAACGCACAUUGCGCCCGCCAGUAUUCUGGCGGGCAUGCCUGUUCGAGCGUCAUUACAACCCUCAGGCCCCCGGGCCUGGCGUUGGGGAUCGGCGGAAGCCCCCUGCGGGCACAACGCCGUCCCCCAAAUACAGUGGCGGUCCCGCCGCAGCUUCCAUUGCGUAGUAGCUAACACCUCGCAACUGGAGAGCGGCGCGGCCACGCCGUAAAACACCCAACUUCUGAAUGUUGACCUCGAAUCAGGUAGGAAUACCCGCUGAACUUAAGCAUAUCAAUAAGCGGAGGAAAAGAAACCAACAGGGAUUGCCCCAGUAACGGCGAGUGAAGCGGCAACAGCUCAAAUUUGGAAUCUGGCUCUCGGGCCCGAGUUGUAAUUUGUAGAGGAUGCUUUUGGUGAGGUGCCUUCCGAGUUCCCUGGAACGGGACGCCAUAGAGGGUGAGAGCCCCGUCUGGUUGGACACCGAUCCUCUGUAAAGCUCCCUCGACGAGUCGAGUAGUUUGGGAAUGCUGCUCUAAAUGGGAGGUAUAUGUCUUCUAAAGCUAAAUACCGGCCAGAGACCGAUAGCGCACAAGUAGAGUGAUCGAAAGAUGAAAAGAACUUUGAAAAGAGAGUUAAAAAGUACGUGAAAUUGUUGAAAGGGAAGCGCUUGUGACCAGACUUGGGCUUGGUUGAUCAUCCGGGGUUCUCCCCGGUGCACUCUUCCGGCUCAGGCCAGCAUCAGUUCGCCCUGGGGGAUAAAGGCUUCGGGAAUGCGGCUCUCUCCGGGGAGUGUUAUAGCCCGCUGCGUAAUACCCUGUGGCGGACUGAGGUUCGCGCAUUCGCAAGGAUGCUGGCGUAAUGGUCAUCAGUGACCCGUCUUGAAACACGGACC